rnacentral:misc_RNA from 1 species
AUGCGAUAAGUAGUGUGAAUUGCAUAAUUUUGUGAAUCAUCGAAUCUUUGAACGCAAAUUGCACUCCCUGGUAUUCCGGGGAGUAUGCCUGUUUGAGGGUCGUUAGAAUAAAAAUCGAGGCGUCGCUCUUUUUUUAAGGGUGAUCGCGUCGGAAUUGAGCCGUCUUUCAAAUGUUAAUUCAUGUCAAAGUGGCUUAAAAUUCAUCCAUCCGGUACGAUUAAAGCGUAUUUAAGAUCAAUUUUGAUUAAGAACGCGCGAUGACGGACCAUCUCAUGUAGUACGUUUGACCUGGCGUCGUCAGGUUCAUUCGUAUACGAUACUCAACUUUUGACCUCAAAUCAGGUAAGAAUACCCGCUGAACUUAA